rnacentral:rRNA from 1 species
CGGACCGGCGGACGGGUGCGUAACGCGUAUGCAACCUGCCUGACACAGGGGGAUAAUCCGAAGAAAUUUGGUCUAAUACCCCAUAAUACCGAUAUAGGCAUCUAUGUUGGUUGAAAGCUUUGGUGGUGUCAGAUGGGCAUGCGUUGUAUUAGCUAGUUGGUGAGGUAACGGCUCACCAAGGCGACGAUACAUAGGGGGACUGAGAGGUUAACCCCCCACACUGGUACUGAGACACGGUCCAAACUCCUACGGGAGGCAGCAUG